UACGUAGGGGGCAAGCGUUAUCCGGAUUUACUGGGUGUAAAGGGAGCGCAGACGGCGAUGCAAGUCUGAAGUGAAAUGCCGCAGCUCAACUGCGGAAUUGCUUUGGAAACUGUGUGGCUAGAGUAUCGGAGGGGUAAGCGGAAUUCCUAGUGUAGCGGUGAAAUGCGUAGAUAUUAGGAAGAACACCGGUGGCGAAGGCGGCUUACUGGACGAUAACUGACGUUGAGGCUCGAAAGCGUGGGGAG
rnacentral:rRNA from 1 species